rnacentral:tRNA from 1 species
GGGCCCGUAGCUCAGUGGCAGAGCAGACGGCUCAUAACCGUUAGGUUGAAGGUUCGAAUCCUUCCGGGCCCA